rnacentral:antisense_RNA from 1 species
CAGUUAUACAAUCUAUUAGAUAUGAUAAAGUCCUAUAAUAUCUAACAAAAUACUUUAUUCCUCCCAAUAAAGUUAAAACAACACACUCAUUAUUAGGUCAGCAAGGGUCGUCAUCCCUGAGAGUUGAUAGCCCAAUAUAAAAUAUCCGCAUCCUGUCAUUACCAUUGGAAGGGUUAAGAACUAUGAAAAGGCAUCAAGACCAGCAAAUGGCGCAUAAUCACUAAUAGAGAUAUCUUUUGUUGAAGGAUAUACACUAAUUCCUGAUAGUCAAUCAAUGUAACUCUUGCCAUCCCAACCAAUUUCCGAAGAUUUGAAAAGGUCGGCAUUCCAAAGAGAACCAAAAAAGUAACAUAGUGCUUUAUAUUCAAAAGAAAAAAAGGGAAUCACUUAAAGAUAGUAAAUUAUGUAUUUUACUAUCCUAUGUUCCUCCAAAACUCCCUUUUCAAUUGAAAAAUAUUCAUCAACAAAUCUCCUCCCUAAAUUGAUCUUCCUUUACUUUAUUCCUCACUUCCCAGUAUUGUUAAAAACUCUAUAGCUUGAUUCAUUAGUAAACAACUCUUCUCUUUGCUACAACCUAAUAGACAUUGUUCUUACAUUCCGCCUCUAAGUCUCAGGACUAAGUGUAAAGUGGACUCUUUUUGAAUGUUGUAAUCAGAGAGAGUUCUACCAUCCUCUAAUUGUUUUCCUGCAAAGAUCAAACGUUGUUGAUCAGGUGGGAUUCCUUCCUUAUCUUGAAUCUUUGCCUUAACAUUCUCAAUUGUAUCUGAAGGCUCAACUUCCAAAGUGAUAGUCUUUCCUGUCAAAGUCUUAACGAAAAUCU